GACGAACGCUGGCGGCGUGCCUAAUACAUGCAAGUCGAACGCAGUGGGGACGGGUGAGUAACACGUGGGUAACCUCCCAUCAGAGGGGAUAACACUUGGAAACAGGUGCUAAACCGCUACUGAUGGAUGGACUCGCGGUGCAUUAGCUCGUUGGUGAGGUAACGGCUCACCAAGGCAACGAUGAAUAGCUGACCUGAGAGGUUGAUCGGCCACCCUGGAACUGAGACACGGUCCCGACUCCUACGGGAGGCAGCAGUGGGGAAUCUUCGACAAUGGACGAAAGUCUGACCGAGCAACGCCGCGUGAGUGAAGAAGGUUUUCGGAUCGUAAAACUCUGUUGUUAGAGAAGCGGUAUCUAACCAGAAAGCAACGGCUAACUACGUGCCAGCAGCCGCGGUAAUAC
rnacentral:rRNA from 1 species